rnacentral:rRNA from 1 species
AACGAACGCUGGCGGCGUGCCUAACACAUGCAAGUCGAACGUGAAAGUCCUUCGGGAUGAGUAAAGUGGCGCACGGGUGAGUAACGCGUAGAUAAUCUGCCCGAUGAUCUGGGAUAACAUUCCGAAAGGGGUGCUAAUACCGGAUAAGCCCACGGGAUCUUCGGAUCCUGCGGGAAAAGGGGGGGACCUUCGGGCCUUCUGUCAUCGGAUGAGUCUGCGUACCAUUAGCUAGUUGGUAGGGUAAUGGCCUACCAAGGCGACGAUGGUUAGCUGGUCUGAGAGGAUGAUCAGCCACACUGGAACUGAGACACGGUCCAGACUCCUACGGGAGGCAGCAGUGGGGAAUUUUGCGCAAUGGGGGAAACCCUGACGCAGCAACGCCGCGUGAGUGAUGAAGGCCUUCGGGUCGUAAAGCUCUGUCAGAGGGAAAGAAAUGUCUGAUGGCUAAUAUCCAUUGGACUUGACGGUACCCUCAAAGGAAGCACCGGCUAACUCCGUGCCAGCCGCCGCAGUAAAAC